GGGAGUGUAGUGGACCAGUUGGAGGUGCAAAAUACAAGAAUAGGCGUUGGGAUUUGUCAACACUUGGGUCAACUAUGGCCACGACCCAUGAUUCGUUGCAAUUCAACCAAAAACCACAAACAGCGAUGAAAAACAUAAAUGUCCAGUCACUUUCGCCUGCGUCCUUCUCUCUAGCUUGAACGCAAGAACACAAAAUCGCGACGCCUUCAUCUCAAUUCCAGAUUCAACAAGAAAAUGACCAAACAAAAUUCCAUCAAAUCUACAUACGUUCGAUUUUAGAAUCAAGACACACAAUUAAUCAUGGAUUUGGAUCGAAAAUACCAAACAGAUCUUUAAGCUUCACGGUGAGUUACAACAAGCAUACAAUCGGAGCCCUAAGUCGUCGUGCUUCACGAAUUUAAGCAUAAAAUCGCAUUAGCCUGUACCUGAGGAGUUCGGCUUGGCGGCUCAACAAUGACAAUCUCCAGUGAAGAAUGGAGAAUUGAGAAGAGUUUGGAGAGCUUGGGGUUGAAGAAGGUUUAAGGUGAUUUAGAUGGGAGUGUGGGGAGUUUUGGUGCAUGCAGAAUGAUGUGAAGAUUAGAGAAUGGUGAAAAACGUCCCCGCUAGCGAUGUUGAUUCAGUCUAUUUUAUAGAGUUGGUUAAAAGGGGUAGUUUAGGAUUUUGCAUUUAAAGUUUCAGUUGUGAAAUUCAGGACCUGCAGGGAGGUGCAUUGUUGCGCUUUUGAAUUAUAUUCCCUGCAUUGCCGUUGAAUUUGCAAAUUGGUUCCUUGAUAAUUCUUUUGCACAUGCCUUGUAAAAUAACUUGUAUUGGGAUUCUCUUGUAAAUCUUUAUUUGGGCCUUAAUGAUGUAUGUUAUUCACCCCAAA